CCGUUUCAACAUUCGUCAUCGGAUUUAAUUCUGAAUAAAGUCAAGGAGGAUACUGAAAACCCAGUUGCUUCAAGCAUUUGUAACUAAGUCUAACUGCAAAUUAAAAUUCAAAAAAAAGCAGUAAAUCUAAGAUAUGAAUGCGAUACCAGAAAUUGAACCAAUAAGGGUAAAGAGUACACUAAGUUCGUUUCAGGUUUGAAUGAUUUGAAAACAUAAAUCAACAAGUGAUUAACACAAUUCCACGUUGUUGCAAUAGGUGACAAGAUAUCUAUUUGGAGACUAAUACAAAUGUGAAACAUUUAAAGAAGGCGACUCGACUGAGGAGGUAGUGAAGUACUAGAAGUCAAAUGUUUUCUUAUCAAAUAAAUAGAAGACUAUUGAAAGAAAUGUGUAAAAAGCAUUAUAAAUAUUCAUGCACUAAGUAAGAGCAGGGUGGAGAUAAUAGCAGCCCAUAAAGCUAGAAGUGAAACUAGACCAAAUGAAAUUAUAUAUCAUAAUUCUUAGUCCAUUAAGAACCAUAAUUAGAGCUUCCAAAAACAAAGCAGAUUAUAGUAUAAAUAGCAUACAGUACAUGUUUAAGUAGAAAAUUUUAAGCUUAGCUUUUCCUCCAUAGAAUGGAAUAAACGAUUAUGUUUCUUACAAGCGCUACCUAUAAUCGAUUAUGCCUAAACAAAUGUGGGGUCUCGAUAAGUUCUUUUAUAUUUUUGCUGAAAUAACGGGUCGUCUAUUUUUAAAUUGAGUAAUAAGCUUCUUAUACGAUAUUAAUUUUAACCACAUUGAUCCACAGGCACUAACGUUUAUAGUGAGUGAUAACUUCUCAAUGCAGAAAAGGAACUCGGUUUUUUGCUCCCUUACAGAUCGUUUUUUUAAAUUAUUUAAAUUAUUGAAAACAUUAGUAAAAAGUUAAGUAUGAUAACUAAUAAUAGUAUUGAAUUACUGGGAGAGUAUAUUGGCGAGGAUUUAUUUUCAAUAAAGAUCGAAGCUAGAUGUAGAUUCUAUUGAGAAAACGGUGAAGAAGUUGCGAUGCAGUGUUGUGGUAUAGUUUUUCCAAGAUCAAUUGCAGAUUAUAAAAACCCUUCCCGACAAUUUUGUUUGAUUUAUCUACCAUAGGCGUAGAUAUUUCAAUUUAUAAAUUUGUAGUUUUUAUGAAUAAUUUUAAAAAUAUGUAUAACUUAUGCGAGAAAGUAUUCGAUAUAAGGAAAUCGAAAUAUUAUAAAUUAGACAGCAUUAUACGCCGUUAUUUAGACAGAUGCAUUUAAUUGUAUUCCUACUUGGAACUUGGAAAAAAGUCAUUAUUAUACCUAGCUAACUUGCUACGACUGAAAUUUAUAAUAUAAAACGUAAAUAGAUGAAGUAAAAUGUAAGGGAGUUUGGUUUAAACAGGGUGAACUAUUUAUACUCCAUCCGUCCGUUUUUUUUUAAUUUUAAAGCAAAAAUAAUAAAGGAAAAUAAAUUUUCUUGCAAAUAAAACAAAAUAAAAAAUAUUUCAAUUUCAAUGUACCUUUAUAAAUAAUCAUGGUAGUCAGAAUCGUCUGAACUAGAGACAUCAUUUGAUUGAAUUAUAAUGAAUUGUAAAGAGAGUGAUACCCCAUAUUUAUCUUCUUCUUUGAUAACAUGUUCAACACAGAACAUUAUUUACUAGUUCUACAACAUUUUUACUCAGUUUUGGAGACUGAUUAUAUUUUCGUAAUUCUGCUACUACUAUUUGGUAUCUUAAGGAGUUGCCACGAGUGAUAGGAUGAGUUGUCCAUAACGAUUACUGGUGGUGGAAUGUAAGGUCAAAGCUGUCCAUUAAACCACUUCCCAAAUAAUUCUGCUGUCAUAUCUUCAUGAUAAUAAGCUGCACAGUUUUUAAUUUUUUGAUCAGAUAUUAAUAAAGCACGAAACGGUCUUUGUUUCCAGCGUGUUCUAUUAUAAUACGUUUCCCUUUAGAACAUGGCCCAUUCAAAACAGCAAUUUUUACUAUUGUCAACCCAACCGAAAUUUUUUACAUUGUGACUGGCAAACCAUGUUUCAUCUAGAUAAAUUAUGUGUCUAUUAGAACUUCAGUAGUCUUUCGUUUAUUUAGUUUUUUGUGUUUAAAACACAUGCUGACAUGUAUGACAUGCUGACACUAAUUGUAUUCUGGAUAUUCUGCUACCUUUUGCUGUAUCCUUCUAAUGUAUAAAAUCUUGAGUAGCUUUGUCAACUGAUUCGUGACUACUCGAUUAAUGGAAAAUUUAUUUAUUCUAGUUAAUUAAACAAUUCUUAUUAUGGUUGCAUUAUCAGAUUGCUGAAUAUUUUCCUUUUUUAAACAUUCCAAUAUAUUUAAAAUAACUUGCUGUAUUUGUAUAUCUAAAUCUUUAUUAUUAAAUUCAUACUUGUCUUUAUUCUCACUACACUGUGUAAUUUCAUUAUCUUCAUUCGCCCAUAGUCUAAAGAAUGUCCAUAUUUCUAUUUAUUUAAAUACAUUUUUUAAUUGAAUGAAUCUCUCCAAGCAACGCCAAUGUCUGUCAGGAAAUAUUUCGAAGAAAUUGUGUACAUGCGGCUUUGGCUAAUAGAAAUGCAUUUAUGUUUAUGAUUCGAUGCUUUGAUUGGUAAACAGUGGAGAUGAGAGUCCACAUUGACUGAUGGUUUGUUAGAUAUUUACUGAAUUUUAGCGGGGAGUGAAAUUUAUCAUUAAUUUCUUAAUUUGGUAUCAGUGCCGUGCGUAUUUAUGAAAUAUUGAUUGAUCCUCUUAUAACUUAUAACUAUAUCUUCUGCAAUUGAUAUUAGAAGAACUGUAACUGUACAUUAUAUACAUGUACAUUUACUUAUUGGAUCUUUUAACAUAAAGGAACUAUAGACCAGUUUUUUAUUUAUCAGACAUUUUUCCACUUAUUUUCUAAAAUGAAUAUUGAUUUUCGAUAUUAGUAGAAUUAACGUUUAAUGUUUACGUAUGACUUUAUUGCCUCUAUAGAUUUUGUCCAUAUGGACAAAACUAAUGCAUGAAUUGAUAAUUCAUUCAUCACAUACAUAUCGAAAUACAAUGUGUUUCAAUUAUAAGGAAGUUGUUCAUCCUCAUCUCAAAAUGCAAGUUAAAUAAAGAAAAAAGUAGGAAAUAUCUAACAUUUCAAAUUAUUUCUCAAUAAAUUUAUAUUUAUAGGACAUAAUUACUCAUAAACUUUGCUCAAAAUGUUUAAGUCUUCAUGACCAUUUUUGAAAACUUCAAUUUUUGUAUUUGGUUUUUGUAAUUAAAUGUAUUGUUUGUUAAUGAUAUUUUUAUCACGUUAAUGACUUUAUAAUAACUUUCCAAAUAUUGAGAUGUAUGUAAUAUGUCAUAUUACUGUCCUAUUUCAUUAGAUGGGAUGAUAUGAAUUGAUUUAUUAUAUUAUAUAUUUUCUUCCUC